CUUCGGCGGGCCCGCCCUUUCGACGGCCGCCGGGGAGGCCCUUGCGCCCCCGGGCCCGCGCCCGCCGCAAGACCCCAACAUUAGCGCUGUUCUGAAAGUAUGCAGUCUGAGUUGAUUAUCGUAAUCAGUUAAAACUUUCAACAACGGAUCUCUUGGAUCCGGCACCCAUGAAAAACGCAGCGAAAUGCAAUAGGUAAUGUGAAUUGCAGAAUUCAGUGAAUCAUCCAGUCUUUUAACGCACUUUGCGCCCCCUGGUAUUCCGGGGGGCAUGCCUCCCGAGCGUCAUUGCUGCCCUCAAGCACGGCUUUCGUGUUGGACCCCCGUCCCCCUCUUUUGGGAACGGCGCCCAAAAGGCAGCUCUUCCACCGCCUCCGGUCCUCGAGCGUAUGGGGCUUUGUCAGCUGCUCUGUAGGCCCGGCCGGCGCAAGCAACAAGGUAACUUUAUUUUUCUAAGGAUGAUCUCCCAUCAGGUACCUCACU
rnacentral:rRNA from 1 species